AUUGAACGCUGGCGGCAUGCUUUACACAUGCAAGUCGAACGGCAGCGCGGGCUUCGGCCUGGCGGCGAGUGGCGAACGGGUGAGUAAUGCAUCGGAACGUGCCCAGUAGUGGGGGAUAGCCCGGCGAAAGCCGGAUUAAUACCGCAUACGACCUGAGGGUGCAAGCGGGGGACCGAAAGGCCUUGUGCUCUUGGAGCGGCCGAUGUGGGAUUAGCUAGUUGGUGGGGUAAGGGCUUACCAAGCCGACGAUCCGUAGCUGGUCGGAGAGGAGGAGCAGCCACACUGGGACUGAGACACGGCCCAGACUCCUACGGGAGGCAGCAGUGGGGAAUGUUGGACAAUGGGGGCAACCCUGAUCCAGCCAGGCCGCGUGCGGGAAGAAGGCCUUCGGGUUGUAAAGCGCUUUUGUUCGGGAAGAAAUGCUCUGGGCUAAUACCCCGGGGGGAUGACGGUACCGGAAGAAUAAGCACCGGCUAACUACGUG
rnacentral:rRNA from 1 species